GCACUUGGAGGAUGUACGUAACAACUUGUAACAAUUUGUGUUAUUUCGACUAUGUCGUGUAAAAUUCUAGGUAUGGUUAUGAUUAUGACAUACCAUACCUAUAAGUCUUGACCAAAUCACGUGCCAGCAGUCGCGGUAAUACGUGGAAGACUAGCGUUAUUCGUCUUUAUCAGGUUUAAAGGGUACCUAAACGGCAUAUUAUACUAUAAAAAGUACUUAUAUUCUAGAGUUUUACAUGAGAGGGGCAGUACUAAAGAGUGUAGAGAUGAAAUUCUGUCAUACCUUGUUCGGAACAGGCAAAGGCGAAAGCAACCCUUUAUCUAAAAACUGACGUUGAAGGACGAAGGCUUAGUACACCAACAGGACUUGUUACCCUAGCAGUCUAAGCAGACAAUGAUGAAUGUCAUAUAUAAGAACCACCACAUUUUUAUAUAUAAAUGAAAGUGUAAGCAUUUCACCUCAAGAGUAAAGUGGCAACGCAGGAACUGAAAUCAUUAGACCGUUUCUGAAACCAGUAGUGAAGUAUGUUGUUUAAUUAGAUGUUCCACUAAGGACCUUACCACAAUAUGAAUAUUAGUAUUAUUAUAUCAAUACAGGAGUUGCACGGCUGUCUACAGUUGAUGUCGUGAGAUUUUGGUUGGAUCCAUAAAAUUAACGUGAACCCUCGCUUUAUUUAUUUAUAUAAAGUAGUCAACCAAUAUAUUGGAAAAUUAUAACAGGUACUAGAACAAGUCAUCAUGGCCCUAA
rnacentral:rRNA from 1 species